CUCGAAAGGGAGAGUAAAUGCUAAAAUUAAGUGUUACAUAAUGUUUUUUUGCAAGAUUAAUUUUAAGUGGGAGAUUUAGUAGUGAUUAAUGUUUUGUUAUGCUAAUUUAGAAGAGUUUCUGUUAAGGUGGGUUUUUUGAGAGUGGUGACAAGUGGUGCAUGUGGCUUGGUUUGAGUAUGUUAAAUGCUUUAUAUUUCUGCACUCAUUCAGCAAGUGCUAUACCAUGCUAUUGUUAACAUGUUAGCAAAUUAGCAAGUUGCCAUUUUUUUUUAGCUAGCUAAGUUUAAACUAAUAAAAAUGUUCACAUUGAGGUUACAUGAAAAUUUUAAGUUAAAUGUAUGAAUUAGUGUACUCAAACUUUUCAAGUUAAGAAUAAUUAAAAUUAUGAGUUAAAAUUAAAAUCUGCCAGUUCUGCUUACUUAAACUUUGAUUUUUUUUAACUUAAAAAUUUUGAGGCAACUGAUUGCCUCAGAUUUUUUUUUUUUUUUUUUUUUUUUUGAGUUUUGCCAACUUAUUUGGGCUUACAGUGUUGGAUAACAUUAAUCAAUAGCCAAAUAGCUAUUUAGGCAAACAUAAGCAUUAGCAUUGUUUUGGCAAACUCAUAAUCAGGCAAACCCCCCCAAAAUACUAUGUCACCUGGAAAUGUAUCGCAUUACUAAAGUUUUAUAUGGGUUGUGAAUAUUGUUUCAUGUUGACUUAAUUAUUUUAUGCAAUGUUUAAUGUUCAUUUAAAAUUAUGUUAUUAGUAUUUAAUUUAAUUUUAUAUUUAAUUUAAACCAAAUAAAAUUAAAUUACUGGUGUAAAUCAGUGUGAUAAACUUAAUAGAAUUAAUAAUAGCAAUAUAACUUUAUUGAAAUGUGGUUUCAUGGUUAUACAGUUUUGAUUGAAUUUGGCCUUCAAGCUUUUUCUCUCUCCUCCUGACAUUUUUUUUAAACAAAAACAUUGUGAAGACAAAAAAAUAGAUUGCAUAAAUUGAUUCACAUCGUUCUAAACCGUGGCAAUGCAUGGACUGAUUAUAAGAUGCUUACAAAUAUGAUUUUGUGACAUUCAAUGCUGUCAUUUAGCUUUUCAAAUGACAUUUAGAAAAUCAACACAAUGCAAAAGUAAUGCGAGAAGCCAGUGCACCUGCACGCAAAGCAAUGACUGCAGUAUUCCAGUGUUCCACAGAUGUGCCUGUCCAACGAGGAAAAAAGAAGGCUUCAAAGAGGUACUGUUAUAGCCCUGACAUUUCAUACUGUCAGGUCUAGCACCAAAAGCACAAUAUAUGUUAUGGCCACACAUUAAAUAUAAAGUUACAGUGACAAUGUUUAUGUAUAUGUAUUUGGAUGAUACAUCUGAUUCACUAACAGCAUACUGUCCAAUGUCAUGCAUAGAAAACCUGCUGUUUGCCUGUAUUAGAGCUGAAGUGUGUAAUGUCUGCUCUCCUAUAUAGAAUUACAAAAAUGAUUAUUUUCAAAACAGAUCUUCCAAACACUCCUCAUCUGCCAUUGCUCAGACACACAGAUAGUUUCACCCUUAUAUCACACUAUUGGUUUAGCCAAUGCUGUGGUGUUGGGCUGCCUAAGCAAAGCAAGGAUUUGAAAGCACCACAGUGUUUUGUGGGAAAUUAGUCCAUGAAGGGAUUAUGUUAACACUUUAGUUUUUUAGCGUCCAAUUCUCACUAUUAACUAGUUGCUUAUUAGCAUGCAUAUUACUAGGAUAUUGGCUGUUUAUUAGUACUUAUAAAGCAUAUAUUAAUGCCUUAUUCUGCAUGACCAUAUUCUACAUCCCAAAUUCUACCCAAUUCCUAAACUUAACAACUACCUUACUAACUACUAAUAAGCAGUAAUUAGGAGUUUAUUAAUGCAAAAGUCGUAGUUAAUAUUUAGUUAAUAGUGAUAAUUUGGACCAAAGGGUGACCAGGAUUACUUGCAGCUAAGACAAAAGAAACCAUUUAAAAAAAAAUAAUAAUAAUACACACUUCAGCUUUAAAGCAUCCAAACAUAAGUUUAGUACAUAUUUUAGGCACUGGCUGUGCACCGUAUGGCGACAUUGAGGUUCGUACAUUUCGUUAAACCUACCCGAACUGUGCGCGUUGCAGUGAUGUCUAUAUUCUGAAUUAAAAAAAGAUAACAUAAUUAGCAGCAGCUGUGAAAGCAGUAUCUGCUUCUAAAUUAGCAGCAUCAGCACAUAAAGUUUGCUAGAAAAUAAAAAUAAAAAUAGAGAAACAAAGACAAAGGCACCUGCAGCCCAGGUGAGAUAAUGGAAUAGAUGUGGGUGAGAAACUUAAGGGUACGCAAUCAUGUGCCACGUUAAAUAAUAGUCAAAUCAUCAAACCAUCCACAAACAGUCAAUUUUUGUGUGUAAAGAUGAGCAUGAAAACAAUAAGAUGCUCGAAAUAAUGGCUAUACUUGAUACGAUAUAAUGGCUAUACUGCCUUGAUAAUGGCUAUACUUGAUAAUAUAUGUUUAAUGAGAGGAUGGGAUGCAACAACUGUGGCUGGAGCCAAAACUUUUGUAGAAGGUCAAUCAAAAGAAGACGAUAUUGACUUACAUAGUUUCCAAAGCUCUCUGCUGAUUCACUGUUAGCUAUUAAACAGUCAUCAUUGCAAGAGCCAAGUAAAUCUAGAUUUCAAGGUCACCUGAAACUAAGACAAUCAAUGUCCCAGCAAUCAAUGCCCUAAUGCUGCACUGUCCGUCCAAAUGCAAUGCUGAGUGUCUUUUUAUAGUUUCGCUUGCAAAACAAAACCUGAAAACAGCACCUUUGGAUCACAAUGAAACAGAUAAAAAUAAAUGUAUAUAUGUAUAUUUACAGAGCAAGUUACAUAUUGUCGUAAUAUCUAGCUGACUAGUUUCUGUAUAUCACUUUCUCUUGAGUUGAAAAUCCAUGCCAUUAGGAUUGAUUUUGAGGCCAUGCAACACUAUAAUACCAGUGUUUUUUUCUUGAUCAAAGCCGGUAAAAGAAAAGACAAAACAUCUAACACACUCUAUCAAGGUUUUUCUAACACCUGAAAAUGAUUUCAAGAUGACAGACAAGCCAGUGAUUAAAAAUAAUCUGACAUCAUUGCUACAAAUGUGCUUGGGGACAUUAAAGUGUGAACUACAAUAUGGCUCAUUAAGUGGCAAAGUUAUUUGAAUAUCAACUACAUUUCGGACUAUCUCUGCAGCUCGCAGAAUAUACAAUGAACAGUAUGCUCUUACACAACACAUCAAGCAUUUUUUCUGUGGCACUAGGGUGUUAUUUUGCUUAUUUAUCAUUUAACAUGUUCUGUAUGCUCUUUAUCCUGAAGAACUGCAAAAAUGGUUGAAAGGUGAUAUGAGAUGAAAAAAGGAAAAGCCAUUGAACAACAGUAGACUAUAAAUAACAAAAUAUGGCAUGUAGAGACAUUCAUCUUGUCUUCAAAAGCUUUGCAGCAGGAUAAUCGUGAAGGAGUUGAUACAAGUGUUGUCCAUACAUACGUGUUUUGGAUCCACACACAACUAUCGACACAGAAGCAAGCAGUUUUCAAUGACAUUCCCAGCUGAUCACUAUAAUAACACUAAAAUAAUAGACAACCGUCUUGAAUCGGUGAAUAUUGGUGUUCGUUAACAAGCAGCAGAGUGGAUGAAACUCCUGUGAGUAUUCUUUGCAUCGUAUACAUGUACUGAAUGUGACGGCAAACCUUUAUAACAGCAGAUGAAGCACACAAAUGACAUUUCUUUGGCGAAGCUUGGCUUUGAGAGUAAGAUGUUGACUGAAAUAUAUUGACACUCAUGUGCUGUUUAUUUGUGUUCCGCAGUUCCGUAUAAAUACUUGGCUCCUGCUCCGGAUAAGGUGUUGGAUGAUAUAGAUGACUCCAUGCGAACACUGGUGAAUACUUGGAUUGUGGACGGACCUGGACUAUCAAUGAGAUAUGUAGGACGUCCAAAUUGACAAUAUUCAGUUUUCAUCAACGGUCAAGACAAGAAGUCUUCAUCAAAUUAAGUACACACUCUCGCUGCUUGAGUUUGAGCCAGGAGGCAGCAGAUAGCGGCAGGAAGCCAGGACCCGGAAUCGGCUCAAGGUCACUUACUCACUGCAGCAGAUCUAUCCCGACCUGCAGCGACACACCCACAUACAGAUAAGGACCAUGACAUUACAAUUUGUUUAACUGCGUGUAAUGAAGAAAAGAAACAAAUCAAACAUAAAUAAUGGAAUAUUUGUCUUGAUCCCGUAUAAUAAACCUGAUAUUAUCCUGUGCACGCUCACCUUAAAAUCACAUUCAUAUUAUCAAGAAACAAUUUUGUGAAUAAAACUAGAUUGUGAAGCUGAGUCUCCACUGUUACAUUCUGCUAUCAUUGGAUGGUGCUCCUCUUGUUACUAUGGCGACAAGCACCUAGAGCCCCUCCACAGGCAGAUUGGAGGGGAUGAGAGCUGUGAUGACAUCACACAGACCGAGGAAUCACUGGCGUUUGGCCACAGAUGUGAUGUCAUGCCUGCAGGGUUUUCUAAGUGAUCCACAACAGAGGCGGAAAAAAGAGCCAUGACUCAGCGUUUAAUGGACAUCCUCAUGAAGUAAAAUGAUUGUACUCAAUAACCAAUUAUUAGCCCUAUUUGCUCAUUCUUAUGGUUAGUGACUUGAACAAACUUCUAAAUCUAAGUGUUAAGCUUUGACACGUAAUCUUCUCACACUAUUUUUUGCUAAGGACGUGAUUAAUAUCUCAAAUCGUCCAAUAAUAAUACCUUGUCCAAGUAAUCAGAUUUACUUUACCUCAUUUUUGCUAGCCAGAUAAUAAAAUUGGUGAAAUAAAUAAUUGAAGGGGAAACCCAAGCCCCAUCUACAGACA